GGUUUAUGUUUAAAGCAAAUAGAUGGUGACAUGGGAUCUCAAAAAUGUUGUUUCCCACCAUUGAUUUCUUGACCACCGGAAGAAGAAAUUGAUCUUCUGUCAUCUCAAUUUGAGCAAACAAGUGGAGUCUUCUCAAUUGAAGUCGUAUGUAUUUUUCCUUCACUGAAUCUAUCCCAUUGUUAGAUAUAUAUAAAGGUUUUUGGUAUUCUUAUAGAUUUUCUAGAGCUGUACUUUGAUAAUUAGUGUGUAUCAUUGUAUAAUCCGAUCUCUCAUCCUGUUUUGUUAUGUGGUAAUUCAUCUGUGGCUAUUCAUCGUAUAAUCCGAUCUACAAUGCUCCUGACCAGAAACCUAGAACUCAUCGGUAUUUCUCUUUAUUCGGGUUAGUUUUUUGGUGAAAUUACAUGCGUUUCUUUCCUAUUGUGUUUUCGAUCUACUUAUUUGUUUUGUUUAGUAUCUGAACUUUUUUGCUUUUGCCUCAGGUUUGUUUUGUUUAAUAUUUGUUCACGAUGAUGAUUAUUAUUAUUAUUAUAUGUUUUAUUAAGGUCUUCACUUGGUGUUCCUCCACUUCCCAUGGUGUAUAAUAAUGCAAGAGCUAACGCAAAUGAUGAGCAUAUUGUUUAUCGAGAUGCAUUGCAGGGAUGAAGAGGUCUGGAGACGAUCAUGUUUCCGUGGGUGAUUUUCAUCUUACGCUGCCGAUUGUCUCUGAAUUAACAGAAUUCCUGUUGGUGAAAAUUUGAUGGUCAGGAGUGUGGCGAACAUCUCAGGUUGUUGCGCGGAUUGUUUGGGGUUGAGUGAAUCUGUGGUUCAUACUUUUCUUGAAAGCCACUUAGCCAAGGCUGGUUAGUGUGCGAAAGGUUUUAAUCGCAGUUUAAGUCAUGAAUGAAAUCUUAAUAUCACAAUGUUACUUUAGAGGAUCCUUCUCGAUUUUUUGAAUGGUGAAAAAGUUUCGGGCACGACGAAGGGAGGGUCAUCACUAUUUUAUGAUCUAUCUGCUUUGUACGAUCAAGCUAGAAAGGCCACUAUUCUUGAAAAAUUGGUUCUUGGCUUAGAGGAAUCACUUAAAUGGAGAGGUCGAUACCCUCGAAGAUAUUUGGAUGUCGUCCAAUAAAAGAUUAGAUCCUAAAAUUUAUAUCAGAGUUUUCUAUAUGGUUUCGGGUUUGAAAGUUAACUACAACAAAAGCCACGCCUUCGGGAUAGAUAAGGAGGGGAAAUAGGAGGCACGUAUGACAUAAAUUAUGCAUUGUAAAGCUGGCAAUGGAAAAACGACCCGGAUAACUCAUUCUUGGUUAAAACAGUUGGAGUUGGGAGAAGAUAGUCAGUGUGCCAGUAAUACUUCUACGUAU
rnacentral:lncRNA from 1 species